rnacentral:rRNA from 1 species
CGGUCCCAAGGGUUCGGCUGUUCGCCGAUUAAAGCGGUACGCGAGCUGGGUUCAGACCGGCGUGAGCCAGGUCGGUCCCUAUCUGUCGUGGGCGCACCAGAUUUGACGGGAGACAACCUUAGUACGAGAGGAUUGGGUUGUAGCAACCCCUAGUGCACCAGUUGUCCUGCUAAGGGCACCGCUGGGUAGCUACGUUGCGAAAGGAUAAACGCUGAAAGCAUCUAAGCGUGAAGCCCCCCCGAAGAUGAGAUCUGGAUGUCUCUUCGGAGACGAGAGACCCCUCGUAGACCACGAGGUUGAUAGGCCGGGCGUGUAAGGCCAGAGAUGGCUUCAGCUAACCGGUACUAAUGGUCGAUUGCUUGAUCACA